GUGGGGAAUCUUGCGCAAUGGGCGAAAGCCUGACGCAGCAACGCCGCGUGCGGGAUGAAGGCCUUCGGGUUGUAAACCGCUUUCAGCAGGGACGAAAAUGACGGUACCUGCAGAAGAAGCUCCGGCUAACUACGUGCCAGCAGCCGCGGUAAUACGUAGGGAGCAAGCGUUGUCCGGAUUUAUUGGGCGUAAAGAGCUCGUAGGCGGUUUCGUAAGUCGAGUGUGAAAAAUCUGGGCUUAACCCAGUGUAGCACUCGAUACUGCGAUGACUUGAGUCUGGUAGAGGAGUGUGGAAUUCCUGGUGUAGCGGUGAAAUGCGCAGAUAUCAGGAGGAACACCAACGGCGAAGGCAGCACUCUGGGCCAGUACUGACGCUGAGGAGCGAAAGCGUGGGGAGCAAACAGGAUUAGAAACCCCUGUAGUCC
rnacentral:rRNA from 1 species